rnacentral:lncRNA from 1 species
UACCAUGGUCUGUUGGGGUUGCUACAGACUUUUGAGAAAGAUCACUAGCUCCAUAAGGAGAUGGUGAAUGUAGUGGGAGCAUCUUCUUCAGACGGGCAUCGUCCCUUUAAGAAAGGGAAGAAGAAGAAGAAGAAUAAGGUGCCAAGUGCUGGGCAUCAGACGGUGAAGUCCAAGUUCAAGUCUAACUGGAGUCAGGCAGAGUACUUCUAUUGUAGAUAGCAG